GAUGAACGCUGGCGGCGUGCUUAACACAUGCAAGUCGAACGGAAAGGCCCAAGCUUGCUUGGGUACUCGAGUGGCGAACGGGUGAGUAACACGUGGGUGAUCUGCCCUGCACUUCGGGAUAAGCCUGGGAAACUGGGUCUAAUACCGGAUAGGACCACUUCUUGGAUGUUGUGGUGGAAAGUUUUUUCGGUGUGGGAUGAGCUCGCGGCCUAUCAGCUUGUUGGUGGGGUAAUGGCCUACCAAGGCGUCGACGGGUAGCCGGCCUGGGAGGGUGUACGGCCACAUUGGGACUGAGAUACGGCCCAGACUCCUACGGGAGGCAGCAGUGGAGAAUAUUGCACAAUGGGCGCAAGCCUGAUGCAGCGACGCCGCGGGGGGGAUGACGGCCUUCGGGUUGUAAACUCCUUUCGCUAGGGACGAAGCGUUUUGUGACGGUACCUGGAGAAGAAGCACCGGCUAACUACGUG
rnacentral:rRNA from 1 species